UAGGGAAUCUUCCGCAAUGGACGCAAGUCUGACGGAGCAACGCCGCGUGAGUGAAGAAGGAUUUCGGUUCGUAAAACUCUGUUGUUAGAGAAGAACAGCGCAUAGAGUAACUGUUAUGCGUGUGACGGUAUCUAACCAGAAAGCCACGGCUAACUACGUGCCAGCAGCCGCGGUAAUACGUAGGUGGCAAGCGUUGUCCGGAUUUAUUGGGCGUAAAGCGAGCGCAGGCGGUCAAUUAAGUCUGAUGUGAAAGCCCCCGGCUCAACCGGGGAGGGUCAUUGGAAACUGGUUGACUUGAGUGCAGAAGAGGAGGGUGGAAUUCCAUGUGUAGCGGUGAAAUGCGUAGAUAUAUGGAGGAACACCAGUGGCGAAGGCGACUCUCUGGUCUGUAACUGACGCUGAGGUUCGAAAGCGUGGGUAGCAAACAGG
rnacentral:rRNA from 1 species